UCGUGGUCGGUCUAAACCUGUCAUUCGUUUAUUUUUCGCACAGUCCAUUUUCCGGGAAGCUUUAUCAAGAUGCUAUUAAGAUGACUCACCUCGGCAUCUUGCCUCUGCAUCCUUGCUUGUGACAGACACACUGGCCGCCAAGGAUGCCACAAGUCUCGAAGAAUAGGUAAAAGAUGAGUAGAGGGAAAUGCCACAGCCGCCCCACCGCAGCCUGCAGGGUGGAGCCCUUCAUGCACGUGGGCACACUGUGCCCUAGCGUAGAUUGGUCGGAAUCGGCAGGGUCCUAGCUGCCCUCCCUGGACUACUACAGAGACAGUUAUGGCUAUGGUGAGGAGCAUGAUGACCUCUACAGACGCAGUUUGAAUGUGGAGUCUGACUGCUCACGGGACCCUCACAUGGAGGUUGGGGAGGCCCUCAUUGAGGGUCCUGGUCUCAGGUCAGAUACGGGGUCAGUGGACUCCAACAUGGACUUGCAGAGCAUGCAUCUUCCGAGCCUGCUCUGGGAAGGCGACGGUGUCAUCGUCAGCGCCCAAGCCUGUGACGGGCAGCUCACCUGGCGCUCGCUGCUUCAGAGCCUGUGUGCCAUCCUGUACGUCCCCUGGGAAGGUGGGUGCAUCACCAGUGCCGGAGCUCAAGGCAGGCGCUUUGUCUAGCAUGCCCCCAGCACAUCAACCAAGGAGGUGCCGUCACCAACUAAGUCCGUGGCAGGCGCCUCCUCCUAGACACACCAGACUUCACCUCAACCGGCACUAGGAGGGCUGGACGGUUUCCCUUCCUGGCAUGUCAUGUAUCUCUACCCCUCCUAUAGGACCCAUAAUUCAUGUCCUCAUCACCGUCACGGUCCCUAUUCUGGUCACUGUCAUGCUGCCAGUCCCUUUUAUCUCUUUUUAUGUCCUUGCUCCUUGCUGUUAGUGUGCCCGUUCCUGUUCCCAUUUUGUGUUGGUUCCUGUUGUCUUCCUAACUACCCUGCCCACACUAGCCUGCUUCAACCUGCUGAACCCUCAGUCCCCAAAACCUGGUGCUGGCACGGGGGACCAUGGUCCAGCAGUCACGUUUUUGAGGGGGGGUACUGAAUAGGUGUGCAUACGGACUGCACUGUUGGCUGUAUUUAAAUUGUUAGAAGUACACGUUUUGUUUGAUUUGUAGAGAUUUGUGGAUUGGGAGCUAUCCACUAUUUGCCUUGUGAACACUUGCUCUGUUUCUUAAGGUAAAAUGUUACCAACUAUAUUGGUCUUGUCAGAGUAUUUUAUUGUGCUCUGGCAGCUGUGCUAAGGCAAUGGCUUUUUGGUUGAAUGGUCAGAGCUCAACAUUUACCUUCUGACAGACCUGGGUUCGAGUCCUGGGUAGGGUGGCUGCCUGCAGCCUUUGUUACACAUGGUGUCAGAAGUUGGAUGGCAGUGAAUCCACUGGAUGGUUGAUGAACCCACUCCUGCAGUGAGUGGACGGUGAAGCCCAGUGCGAGGACCACUUGCUAGUUGUGCUAUAAACUUCCCUCGCUUUUUCUUGGCUGGUCACUCCUGUUCAUAAUUACCCCAUUCACUCUCCUUCUUUGUAAUGACAAUCAUCCAAUGUCAAUCAGCCUUUUUAUUGUAGCAUGCACAUUUUAAAGCGUGCUUCAUUUGUGAUGGCGCAAAGCAUCAUGCAAAUGAUGAAAAUUAUUGUUGUAAGGAGCGCUUUUGUGAAAUAAACGAAAAAGCCUAAUAUGAAAGGAUAGGCAUUUUUCUGUUAUCAUGCAAUAUCAUAUCACACAGCCCUUGCAUCACAAUUUCUCCAAGAAUUCAAAACGCUUCUCCAAUUCACUAUUGUUAAUGCACAUGUAAUUUCGCUUUUGAGGAUGUAACGUUAGUCUUGAUACAUUGCAAGAGCGCAUCAAGUGUUAACUCAACAGUCUGCAUAGUGCUGAGAUUCAUGGUUAAGUUGCUCUACACUCUGUAGCACCCGUCUAGUUGUGUGGCUGUGACAUUUCCUCCGAGGGUUCAGGAAAACCAGCGGUGGAUGUCAGUCACAACAAAAUUGUCGCAGUUAUACUGGACUUUUGAUUUCUGGGUCAUCGUAAGGAGCAUGGAUGGAAAAGUGUGGUACAUUACUGAGUAGGAUAAAAGGUGUCAUUAAAUACCCAGCCUCAGUUUAUUUUAAAACAGAACAGGGUUCAGCGUGACAUCAUUUUGUGCAAUAUUUUGAUCCAGCUUGUGAACAGCUUCAUCUUACCUGAUUUACUUUAAACUCAGUCUGAUUUAAACCCAAAUUUUCUUUCAUGACGGGAGAAUCAUUUGUGAUGAACUUACUGAAACAUACUGUGAUGGCAAUCUGGAAAUAAAACUCAAAAUCAAGACUUUCUUUUGUAUUUUAUUGUAAGGUCUUUGCAAAGAGGAUUCAACUGUCACACACACUGAUUCAAAGCCAAGAAUGAAAAGGGAGUCUUAGACCUUUAUAUACAAUGAGAAAUGCAUCAAAUGAACUCCGAGUAUAAGGUUGACAGAUAUGACUUCCCUUGUACAUGGCAAGAUGCAUGUGACUUCUAACAAAAUACAAGACGAAAAUAAAUAUAAGCUUAAUAUAAAACAACAGUUGCUGAAGUUUUUUCUUUUAUGAACACA